GUGGGGAAUAUUGGACAAUGGGCGCAAGCCUGAUCCAGCCAUGCCGCGUGAGUGAUGAAGGCCUUAGGGUUGUAAAGCUCUUUCAGUGGGGACGAUAAUGACGGUACCCACAGAAGAAGCCCCGGCUAACUUCGUGCCAGCAGCCGCGGUAAUACGAAGGGGGCUAGCGUUGUUCGGAUUUACUGGGCGUAAAGCGCACGUAGGCGGAUCGUUAAGUCGGGGGUGAAAUCCUGGAGCUCAACUCCAGAACUGCCUUCGAUACUGGCGAUCUUGACUCCGGAAGAGGUGAGUGGAACUCCUAGUGUAGAGGUGGAAUUCGUAGAUAUUAGGAAGAACACCAGUGGCGAAGGCGGCUCACUGGUCCGGUACUGACGCUGAGGUGCGAAAGCGUGGGGAGCAAACAGGAUUAGAAACCCUGGUAGUCC
rnacentral:rRNA from 1 species